UACGUAGGGGGCAAGCGUUGUCCGGAAUCAUUGGGCGUAAAGCGCGUGCAGGCGGUCCGGUAAGUCCGCUGUGAAAGUCGGGGGCUCAACCCUCGGAUGCCGGUGGAUACUGUCGGGCUUGAGUACGGAAGAGGCGAGUGGAAUUCCUGGUGUAGCGGUGAAAUGCGCAGAUAUCAGGAGGAACACCGAUGGCGAAGGCAGCUCGCUGGGACGGUACUGACGCUGAGGCGCGAAAGCGUGGGGAGCGAACAGG
rnacentral:rRNA from 1 species